rnacentral:rRNA from 1 species
UACGUAGGGAGCAAGCGUUGUCCGGAAUCAUUGGGCGUAAAGCGCGCGUAGGCGGCCUCGUAAGUCCGUUGUGAAAGUCAAAGGCUCAACCUUUGAAAGCCGAUGGAUACUGUGAGGCUAGAGUCCGGAAGAGGCGAGUGGAAUUCCUGGUGUAGCGGUGGAAUGCGCAGAUAUCAGGAGGAACACCAAUAGCGAAGGCAGCUUGCUGGGACGUUACUGACGCUAAGGCGCGAAAGCGUGGGGAGCGAACAGG